GCAGGUUUUAAGUAUGAUGUUUCCGUAAUACAUUUGGAUGUUUUCAGCUAAGCUCACUUCUGAACCAUGGGGUUCCUCCAAAUGUUGACUGAAAUUUGUCCUUGUGCAUCCCCAGGCUCAUCUGCAAAAUCUACAGUCCAUAAUGGAGCUACUGUACUGGCUAUUGGAAGAAGGAGAUUCUGAAGAUAGGGAGGUGAGGAGACUGAGACUUAGAGAAGAUGAGUAACUCACUCAAGUCCAUGGGAUUCGUGAAUGAAAGAACUAAACUUGGACCCAGGUCUGUCUGAUGCGAAAGCUUCUGCUGGUACAGUCAUGUUCUACUGGUUUCUGUGAUGUUUUCCUCCCUCUACAUUUAAGCAUCACAGAAUCACUGGCUGGAGUCAUGACAUCUC